rnacentral:lncRNA from 1 species
AGCCCUAGCUGUGAGCAUGUAGAUGGAUAUGAGAGUGACAUGGUUUGUUCAUGGAAACUUUUAGAGACAGGUAAUUUAGGGGAAAUAAUUUGGAAUAUAUAAUCAGCAAGAUGUCUUUUAAUCUUAUAAUUAUAGUGAAGAGGAGGAGAAUGAAAACUGAUAUACCCCCAGGUUGGAGGGAAAGAAGAGCAAACAGAGCGAUGGAGAAGUGGACAGAGAAGAGGAGACUCAGUGCCUUUUAGGCCCCAAAGAAUAAAGAAGAGUGUGAGCCUGAUGGACAGAAUUUACCAUUUCAAAGAGGUCGGAGAGAAUGAGAACUGAAACUAGACCAUUCGAUGUGGCUACAGAGAUGUCCCCAGUAUUCAAAGACACCACAGUGCUACCCAAUCUACUUACCUAGAAUCACUGGCUCCUUUGGAAAAGGGAGACUCCAGGAAAGUCACCAACAGCAUGAUCUUUGCUACCAAAUCCACCCACCAGAGCUGCUGUGACUACAGGCCGAUGGACUCCAGAGCUGCCCUGUUGCUGAAGAACUUCCCUCAGCCACACAGGAGCUGCUGGACCUGCCCUGCCCAGGAGACUCCGCCACAUCCUCAUCCAUCUGCCCCUGGUCUUCUGACGACUAACUCACAGGGAAGGAGAAAAAGGCCAGCCCCCUCUCCUCAAAGGGACUGACUCUGUGUGGCCAUUCAUGCUCCAGAGCAUCUUCAUGGGAUUAGACUGAAGCCAGGCUGCAGCUGAGAUCACCUCCUCACUUAGCUUUAUCCUCCAUGCCAUCCUGCAUUCCUCACUCUGCUUCUCCUGAGAGUGUACAUCAGUGAAACACUGAAACAAGAACUUUCAUCUCAGGUUCUGGUUCUUGGGAACCCGAUUUAGAGCUCUAACUCAGAGCAUGGCAGAACUGAGCAGAAGGGAGACCCUCAGGGCAGGAGCAAAGAUGACACU